CCUACGGGUGGCAGCAGUGAGGAAUAUUGGUCAAUGGGCGCGAGCCUGAACCAGCCAAGUAGCGUGAAGGAUGACUGCCCUACGGGUUGUAAACUUCUUUUAUAAAGGAAUAAAGUGAGGCACGUGUGCCUUUUUGUAUGUACUUUAUGACUAAGGAUCGGCUAACUCCGUGCCAGCAGCCGCGGUAAUACGGAGGAUCCGAGCGUUAUCCGGAUUUAUUGGGUUUAACGGGAGCGUAGAUGGGUUGUUAAGUCAGUUGUGAAAGUUUGCGGCUCAACCGUAAAAUUGCAAUUGAUACUGGCAGUCUGGAGUACAGGUGAGGUAGGCGGAAUUCGUGGGGUAGCGGUGAAAUGCAUAGAUAUCACGCAGAACCCCGAUUGCGAAGGCAGCAUACCGGCGCCCUACUGACGCUGAGGCACGAAAGUGCGGGUAUCGAACAGGAUUAGAUACCCUGGUAGUC
rnacentral:rRNA from 1 species